CCUACGGGAGGCAGCAGUGGGGAAUAUUGGGCAAUGGGCGCAAGCCUGACCCAGCAACGCCGCGUGAAGGAAGAAGGCUUUCGGGUUGUAAACUUCUUUUCUCAGGGACGAAGCAAGUGACGGUACCUGAGGAAUAAGCCACGGCUAACUACGUGCCAGCAGCCGCGGUAAUACGUAGGUGGCAAGCGUUAUCCGGAUUUACUGGGUGUAAAGGGCGUGUAGGCGGGAAAGCAAGUCAGAUGUGAAAACCAUGGGCUCAACCUGUGGCCUGCAUUUGAAACUGUUUUUCUUGAGUGCUGGAGAGGCAGGCGGAAUUCCUGGUGUAGCGGUGAAAUGCGUAGAUAUUAGGAGGAACACCAGUGGCGAAGGCGGUCUGCUGGACAGCAACUGACGCUGAGGCGCGAAAGCGUGGGGAGCAAACAGGAUUAGAUACCCCAGUAGUC
rnacentral:rRNA from 1 species